GUCCGCGUCGCCAAGUGGUAAGGCUAAGGUCUGCAAAACCUUCAUCGCGAGUUCGAUUCUCGCCGUGGACU
rnacentral:tRNA from 1 species